rnacentral:rRNA from 1 species
GAUGAACGCUAGCGGGAGGCUUAACACAUGCAAGUCGUGGGGCAGCACGGUGUAGCAAUACACUGGUGGCGACCGGCGCGCGGGUGAGUAACGCGUAUGCAACCUGCCCUGUACAGGGGGAUAGCCCGGAGAAAUUCGGAUUAAUACCCCAUAAAGAUAUAGAGAGGCAUCUUCUGAUAUUUAAAGCUUCGGAGGUACGGGAUGGGCAUGCGUGACAUUAGCUAGUUGGUAGGGUAACGGCCUACCAAGGCUUCGAUGUCUAGGGGUCCUGAGAGGGUGAUCCCCCACACUGGUACUGAGACACGGACCAGACUCCUACGGGAGGCAGCAGUGAGGAAUAUUGGUCAAUGGGCGACAGCCUGAACCAGCAAUGCCGCGUGCAGGAAGAAGGCCUUCGGGUUGUAAACUGCUUUUGUACGGGGCGAAAAGGUUCUCUCUAAUACAGAGGGCUCAUGACGGUACCGUAAGAAUAAGCACCGGCUAACUACGUGCCAGCAGCCGCGGUAACAC